rnacentral:rRNA from 1 species
UGGGAUAAGCCUGGGAAACUGGGUCUAAUACCGAAUAUGACCACGCGCUUCAUGGUGUGUGGUGGAAAGCUUAUGCGGUGUGGGAUGGGCCCGCGGCCUAUCAGCUUGUUGGUGGGGUAAUGGCCUACCAAGGCGACGACGGGUAGCCGGCCUGAGAGGGUGACCGGCCACACUGGGAAUGAGAUACGGCCCAGACUCCUACGGGAGGCAGCAGUGGGGAAUAUUGCACAAUGGGCGCAAGCCUGAUGCAGCGACGCCGCGUGAGGGAUGACGGCCUUCGGGUUGUAAACCUCUUUCAAUAGGGACGAAGCGCAAGUGACGGUACCUAUAGAAGAAGGACCGGCCAACUACGUGCCAGCAGCCGCGGUAAUACGUAGGGUCCGAGCGUUGUCCGGAAUUACUGGGCGUAAAGAGCUCGUAGGUGGUUUGUCGCGUUGUUCGUGAAAACUCACAGCUUAACUGUGGGCGUGCGGGCGAUACGGGCAGACUAGAGUACUGCAGGGGAGACUGGAAUUCCUGGUGUAGCGGUGGAAUGCGCAGAUAUCAGGAGGAACACCGGUGGCGAAGGCGGGUCUCUGGGCAGUAACUGACGCUGAGGAGCGAAAGCGUGGGGAGCGAACAGGAUUAGAUACCCUGGUAGUCCACGCCGUAAACGGUGGGUACUAGGUGUGGGUUUCCUUCCUUGGGAUCCGUGCCGUAGCUAACGCAUUAAGUACCCCGCCUGGGGAGUACGGCCGCAAGGCUAAAACUCAAAGGAAUUGACGGGGGCCCGCACAAGCGGCGGAGCAUGUGGAUUAAUUCGAUGCAACGCGAAGAACCUUACCUGGGUUGACAUG